CGUGUUCGUCGAGUUUUCUCUCGGGCGACGUUUGCACAGGAUCGGGAAGUUAGAACGUGUAAAGCCAAUUUUUCAGCUGCAUAGGUGAGAAAAACGAUAGUGCUUCAGAUUUCAAGUAGAUUUUUCUUCCUAAAGCCUUUUGAAACAGAUGAUCUCAUUGUGGACUACCUGUAAAAAAGUUUUGAGUUGACCAUCCAGGGAGAUGAGUCCACAUGAUGGUUACUGGCUUCUGGGGAAACAAAUAAGGAAACAAGAAAAGAACACUUCGAAAACACACUAAUACAAAGGCGGCAUGGAGGUAAAAAAUGAAGAUGACGUGCCUGAGAAACUCCAAAUAAAAACCUAAGCCUAAAUAAUUCUCCUUCACAGGGAUCAGAGUAACAUAGUAUAGUCUCAGCUGAAAUGUAGGUCAGCUGGAUUGGUGUUCAGAUAUUGAUGAGUAAAUAAGGUAAGUUAAUAAUAUGGUGGUUUGCUUACCAAGUUGUUUGCCUCGGGAUGUAAAAUAGAACACUUGUUUAUGUAACACCAGAAACAUUCUGGGGAAGAAAAGCUCCCCUAAUAAACAUCCUAUGUACAGGAUUGCAUAGUUGCAUGGAAAAAGUUUUGUAGUAAUGUUUUCUUAACAA